GCCGAGGGAACUGCGAUUCAGGACCUUUUCAAUCCGGACCGUGUUCUUAUUGGAGGCAGGGAAACACCAGAAGGUCAAAAGGCAAUCGCAGCAUUGAGAGAUGUGUAUGCGCAUUGGGUCCCUGUGGACCGGAUCAUAUGCUCCAACCUCUGGUCUGCCGAGCUAUCAAAACUUGCUGCCAAUGCCUUCUUGGCGCAGAGAAUCUCUUCGGUUAAUGCUAUGUCCGCAUUGUGUGAGGCAACCGGUGCUGAUGUGAGCCAAGUGUCUCAUGCUGUUGGGAAAGACACAAGAAUUGGACCCAAGUUCUUGAAUGCGAGUGUGGGUUUCGGUGGAUCGUGUUUCCAAAAGGAUAUUUUGAACCUGGUCUACAUCUGUGAGUGCAAUGGCCUCC
rnacentral:lncRNA from 1 species